rnacentral:rRNA from 1 species
CCGUAGGUGAACCUGCGGAAGGAUCAUUAAACCUUAUACUUCGGGGGGCCGGCGUUGAAUAGCAGUUCCAUCGCGGAUCAGCUGCUCUCCCCGCCCUGUCUGAACAUUACCCAUGCUUUUUGCGUACCCAUUGUUUCCUCGGCAGGCUUGCCUGCCAGCAGGACCCCCUUACAACCUUUUGCAAUUGCAGUCAGCGUCAGAAAAAAACGUAAUAGUUACAACUUUCAACAACGGAUCUCUUGGUUCUGGCAUCGAUGAAGAACGCAGCGAAAUGCGAUAAGUAGUGUGAAUUGCAGAAUUCAGUGAAUCAUCGAAUCUUUGAACGCACAUUGCGCCCCUUGGUAUUCCAUGGGGCAUGCCUGUUCGAGCGUCAUUUGUACCCUCAAGCUUUGCUUGGUGAUGGGUGUUUGUUCCGCUGCAACGCGUGAACUCGCCUCAAAUCAAUUGGCAGCCGGCAAUCUGGUGUUGGAGCGCAGCACAUUUUGCGCUCUUCGCUGUGGAUUGCGGGCGUCCAUGAAGCCUAUAUUUUCGCGCUUGACCUCGGAUCAGGUAGGGAUACCCGCUGAACUUAAGCAUAUCAAUAAGCGGAGGA